GGAAGUAAAAGUCGUAACAAGAUCUCCGUUGGUGAACCAGCGGAGGGAUCAUUACAGGAUCGAAAGACUCCUAUAACCCCUGUGAACUUACUACAAAUACGUUGCUUCGGCGGGUGCCCCGGGUCUCCCGGGGCGUUCAGCCCGCCGGCAGCCUUCAAAUUCUGUUUCUUUGCGUUGGCAUCUCGAGUAUACAAAAAUAAGUUAAAACUUUCAACAACGGAUCUCUUGGUUCUG
rnacentral:misc_RNA from 1 species